CCACAUCUGUUGUGGCUCCUCCUAGUCAGGGUUUGUGACUCUUUUGUCACAAGUCUCACAAAUUUCAAGUCUUAAAGUCCAGAUCCUGAAUGUAUGUGAUGGCUCCUAAAUAUGAUUUUACCUUAAAGACCUAGGUGAAAAUUGUCAGAGCUUAAAGGUUCCGAAGAAUUGCUUUAGGCACUCUCAGCCAUCAGGAAGCCUUUCUGAGAAGUUGUAACUGAUUUGAAGUGAAGCAGUAUUAAAUGAAUAGUGCAGAAGGCUUAUCUGGGUGCAAAGUAGCACUGAGCUAUGGGGGAGAAGCGAUGCUGUAUGGCAAGGAACACAUUCUGCUUGAAUUAACCAUGCUAUUUGAUGCAGUGCUACUGCAGGUAUUUUUCCCCUGGGUUUUCAGAUGUAAAGCACAACCACAGAAGGUGGGUUUUGUGGGGUGACCUUAAACUUGUAGAUUCAGAGAUUGGUUUUGCACAGGGAAGUUGUCACAAUAACUGGCUGGAGAGGGAGUUGCUUUGUUUUCUGCUGAAGUUUAAGAGGUUUUGACAUGUGUAUGUAUAUCUUUGGUUGGACUACUGACACGUCUACAGGUUCAGGCUGUACAUCAAGGUUUGAAAGAUUGGAACUGUGGAGAAACUUACUCUUAAGUUCUGUCAUUCCUAACUAAGAAGUGCAAGGACCCUUACUAAAUCUCCAAAAUCCUGGAGAUAUGCAUAAGAAGUGUUUGGUAUUAGCUAUCUGCUCUCAGAUUUUUCAAUAAUGAGUAUUCUUUUACUGUAGUUUAACAUACCACUUUGGCGGUGGGAACAGAUCUGAUAAAGAACAAAGAAUCUGAUUUCUGCUUUUCUAUGAUAUCCAGAAAAUAAACUGUCUUCUAUUUACUCCAUGUUUUCAGGCUGUCAUCUUUGACUCUCAGUUUUAGCCUAAGGAACAGUGUGAAAGAGGCGUGAGUUUGGCACACCUAUUUUCUGUGUCAUACUCUGGUUAUUAGGUAUUUUCAAAUGUUUCCUCAAUUUUCAUCCCUGUGUCUCUGCAGCUGCCUGCUGGGUUGAACAUGCAUGUAACUCAAUAAUGGAUAUGUAUUGAAGGUAUUGAGUUUUAAUUCAACAAGAGUAUUGUCUAUUUGUUUCUUUCCUAACGUGUUUACCUGUUCUGUAUCGUGAUACUAUAUUUACCUUUGCAGCAAGGAUUUGUUUACCAGCGUAAGACAGAAUUUUGCCUUUUCACUACUUUCUGUGUUAAUCAGCUUUAAGGAUUGAUAGGCGGUUGCUCUGUGUGGUCUCUGACUUCAAGUUCUGCAUGUUUAUUUACUUUGAGGAAAGGUAGACUAUGAGGAGGUUUUUUUAAUGUAAUUUUGGAUUCUUUGAUGCCAAAGUCUCUCAGCAUACCUAAACUCAGUGUAGACUAGGCAGGUUUCUUAGUUUACAAAUCCUGUUAUUGCAUCAAACAAGCAUACUCAGGUCUUUUGUCUCUGAUCGUUAUCUUGAUCUUUUCUCUUAUCAGGGCCUAUGCUAGUACCCAAAGUUUCAAAAUUAGAUUUUCAGCUUUAAAUCAGUUGUCUAGAUGAUUUAUGUUUCCAAUAUCUCUAUAUUCCCUCACAUCCUGUUUUAUAGUCACUCUUUAAAAAAAAAAAAAAAAAUUGCUCCUGAGCUCUUUUCUAUUUUUCUUCGCAGUACUUUUCACAAUCUUGGCUUAACUAGAAACUACCAAAAAUAUCAAAUACUUAAGAAGUAGCUGUAGUCAGAAAAAUAAAUAUGCUCUUUGGCUGCAUGCAGUAAUGAAGUACUUCCUAAACUUUGUUCAGUCAUCCUUUAUAAGGCCAGAUCAUUUGAACUCUGAUGGGCCUUUCAACUGCUUUGUUUUACUGUGGAUGAAUUCUCAGCUCACUUUUUACAGCGAUGCUUUUCAGUAUAUUCCUGAGCCAAGAAGUUGGCUCCUUCUCUUAGUGUCUCAAUUUGACAUUAGAAGGUCUCCAAUCUGCUGACUGUUGGAUAGUAGGACUUACUACCGAGGGAAGGAUCAAUUUAUUUCAUACUUUGUACAGUGGGUAUAUACAGCAAUUAGAUAAGACCCAAUACAGCAGUAUUUACCAGUCAACAUCAUGUAACUACUUCCCAGAGACUAAUGCCAAAGCCUUGGAAAAGUUCUCCAAAAAGAUAUUAUAAGCAGAGAGUAAGGUACUGACCUUGGCUCUGCAGACUUGGCUGAAGUCCUUAACUGUGUGAGAGCAUUCAAGGUGGGGGACAGAGGAGCCUCUUUGCCUGUAAGACUAAUGCGUCGUGGCUUCUCUUCCAGGCCAGCUCAUCACGUGUCACUCCUGGCUGUCUUAGGUCGCUCCCCAUGCAGCUGCCAAUGUCUGGUGAGCUCUGCCUGGACUGCUCUCACCCUGCAAUAGGACAGUGCUGAGAGCAUAAGGUUUAAUAUUGGCAAGUUCUGCCCAGAACUCUUCUGUGAGACAAAGUCUUCCCUUUUUUGGAGUCCUUGAAGCUGUAAUGCUUUCGAGUACCCACCAGUUCAAUCAGGGGUUUAUGGUUUGGGGGUUUUUGAAUGUCAGGAAGCUCUGCUUCUUAUAAGACAGCGUAACGGUUCUAGGGUCACCUGUCUGACGUGGAUCUUCUGUGGGAGUUUGCUGUUUUGUACAACAGAGCACUAACUUGUCGUCAUCCCUACUGAACGCUUCUGUUGCCAUCUCUGACACUCUGAGGAAUCUUUCCCUUUGAAAGACAGGUCUCAUAAACCCUCUGCAGCAAAAUCUAAUUUUAAUUCUUAAACAUCAGUGAGUAUUAAGGUGUUAUUUAUGACAAUGAGUGUGGGCAAAUGAAUAAUAUUAAAUUAAUUAUACCAGAGGGAGAGAGGUUGAAGUUUUACCUUAGUAAGCUCUGUAGAAAUAAAACAAGAGCCAGUUAUCAGCCACACAUCAUUACACCUUGCAUCUUUGUAAUUACACAGUUACUGCUUAUUUGGCUGAAGACCUGGCGUGGCAUCUUUGUUACUUCAGUUACUUUAGUCCUGAUGCAUAAUUAACAAUUAGAGGUGUAAGUUUAAUUCAACUAAAUAAUAAUGUGAUUCCAUUUGAAAUAUGCCGGUGUGAUAUACAGAGUGAUUAGACAUACAAAACUGGCCUUGUCAUCUUUAUUAAUCUGACCACUAUCUAUGCUUUACAUUUUAAUAAGAACAGAAAAAGAUUUUAUGUCUUUUUAGAGGUAUGCUUAGAAUGUACCUGCCGUUAUGGACUAAACAUAUUAAGGGUCUUUAUGAAAUUGUAAUUCAGUAAGUUUUAUGUGGAUGGUUUGAAUGUGGUAUUUUUCAAAGAUAACGUAAAACAUAACUGUGCAGGCUACAGCUGUAGAAGGCUUAUUUAGCUCAGAAAUGUAUUAGUGUAGUUAUAAUGUAUAUAUUACUGUAUAUAAGGUACUGCUAUAUAUUUGCAGUCAUAUUAUCAUCAGGGAAUUUUCUAUCUUGAGUUAUCAGAAAAGGGAAUUAGAAAAUGUAAUGCUAGCCUUAGGGGAGCAAAGUUUUUUCAAAACUCAUAUCUACUAAUAUCACCUGUCAAUGAUUUAAUGUGUUUAUAGUUUAUGCUAACCUUUCUUAGCUUUCGUUUUUAUCUGUUAUAGUCUGUGUACCUGGUAGAAGGGAAGCCUGCAGCCAAUUGCCAUUACUUUGUAGCUCCUAUCUUUACUCACCAAAUUGCUACUUUCUUUUUUAUUCCUUUUUUUAUUUCUGUAAUGUAGUAACUGUUGGCUGUUAUAAAGCUGCAAUGUCAUUAGCAAAGGUUCAUUCAAAUAAAGUCACUGCUGAUAUUAGGACUUUAAAAUGUUAAUGUCUUUGUAUUUCUUUGGGAUAACAUAUGUUUUUAUAUUGAUGCUUCAAGAGACACAUCUAGAUUCUUUCAUUUCCAGAAGAGUGGUUGUGACAGCAAGACAGAAUAUUGGAACAGUCUGUGGGAUCAUGCCUUUUAGUUUGCAUCUGACAUUUUUCACAAUCACUGGUGGAAAGUAUUCUUCAUGUCUGAUCUGUGCAUAUUCAUUCAUGAAGACUGCCUAACCUCUCCUAACAGACUUUGAUAAAGCCCGAUGCUUCAGAAACUUGCUGUGUGUUUACCACGGGUUCUGCCAGCCAGCUCGAGAGGGGACUUACCUAUUCUUUCAUUAGUCGAGCAUAACAUUAUCUUGAACUAAUUACUCCUCUCCACAUGGCCUUCCUACUAGUGUCAGCUUAUCUUCUGCUGACUCAUGCUCAGGGUGCUCCUGUUGAGGAUGGGGCACUGUUGGAAACACUGAAGUCACAAGUAGGAUUAUUCAGCAAUAAAAGUGAACACUAUUCGGCACAGGUGAGACCUCCUGGCACAAGCCGGCAAAUACCUCAGACAAUCAUCAUAGGAGUUCGUAAAGGAGGGACAAGGGCUUUACUGGAAAUGUUGGAUAUUCAUCCUAAUAUUGUGGUAGCAGCUACGGAAGUCCACUUCUUUGACUGGGAUGAAAAUUAUGUGAAAGGAAUAGACUGGUAUAGAAGUCUGAUGCCGUUUUCUUAUGGAAAUCAAAUUACAAUUGAGAAAACACCAGGCUAUUUUACAUCACCACAGGCUCCAGGAAGAAUUCAUGACAUGAAUAGCUCCAUUAAACUGCUGCUUAUUCUAAGGGAUCCCACUGAGAGAGUUAUAUCUGACUAUACCCAAGUAUAUUACAACAGAGUAGAAAGUCACAAGCCUGUUCAGCUUUUUGAAGAUAUUGUUAUUAAGAAUGGAGCACUUAAUACCAAAUACAAAGCUAUUCAGAGAAGUCUAUAUGAUGUUCAUAUGGAAAAGUGGCUUAAGCAUUUCAGUUUGGAUCAGAUUCACAUAGUGGAUGGCAAUACUUUAAUCAAGGACCCUCUUCCUGAAUUACAAAAAGUUGAAAGAUUUCUAAAUCUUCCUUCCCGAAUUAUGUCUUCUAAUUUUUAUUUUAACCAAACCAAGGGAUUCUACUGCAUUAGAAGCGAUGGAAGGGAGAGAUGUUUACAUGAAUCCAAAGGGCGUCCCCAUCCUCUUGUUAACAGCACUGUUUUAGAGCAACUGUAUUCUUACUUCAGAGAGCACAAUGCAAAAUUUUACAGAAUGGUUAAUCAUUCCUUUGACUGGCAUUAAUGCAUUUGGAAUCAAUGUUUCUUAAAAAGGGCCUGAAACAAACUUUUUCAAACGGAUCUUUCUAAACUGUAGAGAACAGUAUUAUGAGAACUUAACAUCCUGGUUAUAUGCUUCGUUGGAAUAACACCUCUAACUCAUGGAAAUGGUACCCUUUAUGUUGGGGAAAAACAAGUUUCACAUAUUUGUAUGAUUACUGUGAGUCAAAUUCUGAUCUUCUUUCUCUCAUCAUGCAAAUACAUUAACUUCAGCAGACUUAUUUCAGAUAUGUAUGUUACAAGAUUUGAGCUGUUUUGGAAAAAUGACUACUUUGAACAGUGUAGAAAAUGUAAAUGUUUGAAAUGGUAUUAUUCUAACUGUUCUGUAUUUUUUGUUGUUAGUAUUUUUUUUAUAUCACACAAUGAUAGUGGCAUUGAUUUCUAGAAUUUUUCAUACAGUAAGUUAAAUUGUAUCUUAAAACAGGGGGCAUAUAUAGUGGCUCCAAUAAAUAAUUCAUCCGCUGAUAAUACACCGAAGUACUUAAUUAAUAAUAGAGGGAAUCUGUUUCACUUGUGAUUUUGAAUAGGUGAACUAGAAGCUCCCUAUCAGUAUAUCAUUAGUAUUAAACCACACUCUUACCAUCUUGGGUUUACAAAAAAAAAAAAUCUCCAAAGAAUAUAACUGUUUGAUGAAGCUUAAACUGAGUCUCCUGAAUGUAAAGAAAUUAAAAUAUCCCAGGCAACCUCAAUUUACACUGUUAUUCUGUACACUAAAAACAACAACAACAAAAAAAAAAACCUUAAUGGAAAAAAUAAUUUAUAUCAGCAACUGUACAAAUAUUUGAUUAUAUAAAUUAUGUCACUUUGCUCUUGAAUGGAAAAGGUAUCCGUUAAUACUACCAUAUUAAUCAUGUUUGCAUUCUGUGACUAGUUAACUCUCCCUCUCCUGGCUUUAGUUUACGUAUCUCCAUUGGUACAUUGAUUCUUGCUGGGGGAAAAAAAAAAUUGCUUGCCCUCCAAAGCAUCGAAUAUUUUUAUUUUGUUAUUUCUAAUACAGAUCUUGGGAUGUUCUCAAAGUUAAAACAUCUUGUUAUACUGUAUAUCUCAGGCACAGUGUUAAGUAUGCUAGGUAUGACAUACUCAGAUUAUAUAUAAAAAACAUCCAACUAUACAACUGCAUUAUGCAUUUUUUUGUUUUUAAUAUUUUCUUUGACAGUAUUGUUCUUCUUUUUCAUGUAAACAUUUUGUUAUGUAUCAAUACCAAAGAAGAAAAUCAACUUGAAAUGUUAAAUGUGGUGCCAGAUAGCACUACAGGUGCAGAUGUGCUUGUUUGACAUUGUACCUUGCAAUCCAGACACUCUGGUGCACCCCCUAGUAGAAGGGUUCACCAGGCACAAUCCCUUUAAGCUUCUCAGAACACUGGUGAGCUGCAGCUGUGUGAGCCUGCUCGGAGCAUCGCAGCAUCAAUCUCUGCCUAACCCCGGUGAGGUUCCUGAAUCUGUGUCCUUCUCUCUAAGCCACUGCUCAAGCCUACAGGAGUGUAUGUCCCUAACAUGGGAUUCAGUCUUCCAUUUCACAGGCUAAAAGGCAUCAAGUCUUUCUCCUUCUUCUCUGAAGUUUACAGCUAAUCUUUAAAUGAGUUGAAUGCAGCAACACCAGUUGGCAGAAGCUGUACACAUCUUUGAAAAAUGCAGGUCCCUUUGUGGAAUUUACAUUUCAAGGAAUGCUGAUCUGUAUGGAUUAGUGAUGCAUAUAUCUACUUGAUUUGCUAGCACUCUUCACUCUUGCUCAGCAUUUUUGGGAAGGACGGAGUUGAUGGGUUGAGUUCAAUGAUCAUUUUAGAGUUUACUAAUACUGGAAGAAAUAUAUUCUGCAUAGUAUAAUUUGGGAGAAGGGGUGGUUGUUUUGGUUUGGUUUUACAUAAAUAACAAACCUCAUGUGAAGUUUUGUUUUGGUAAAUAAAUGGUCUACAAAGAUGCAACUUAACCUCCCCAUAACAGAAUUCAAUAAAUAUAGUAGACUAAUUUAACAUUACAAACUGUUUCCAUAAGUUUCUCAUUUUGUGGUCUGAAAAAUAUUAUUUCAUGCAGUCUUGACCUUCUUCAUUCUUACUAUCUUCAAAAGAUAACCCUCCUUCCCUCAUUCUCAGGAGGGGGAUCAGAUCAACUUAGAAGAUCCACUGAGGCAUACUUUAGUAAUAUUGAAAUAAAAAGCACUGAAUUUUUGGCACUUGGAGUUCAAAACUAGUAAAAUUUUUGAAAAAACUCAAGGCUCACGAUCUGUUUAAAGACAUUAUUAACAAGUCAGUUCUCAAUUUAAGAAAUUACAAAUACCUCUUAAGAUUUUCCAUAAUUGAUAGCAAAACAUAAACUAUGCUUCUCCAGAUUAUUCAUUAAAGGACUUUCAUUAUUUGAUACUCGAGGUGUUUGCAGAAAUUAAUUUCAUGUGUUAAGGGUACUUAAAGAGAUCAUGCAAUUGUUUCAAAGGUUUUUUGGAGCAUCUGAAACAGAUGAUAGAGUCAUGUGUAAGAGUACAGCAGAAUUUAUGAUGGUUUGAGCAGCUCUUUGAUGAUGUUUUGCAUUCCACAAAUAUUAAGCUUUAACUUUAAAUACUGUUCCUUUCCUUUUUAGUUAAAAUGAGUAAGUUAUAGCUGCUUUCAUCUAAUGUCACUGAGAAUUAGCAAUGUCAAGCAACUGCAGCUCUAACUGGAUCAGUUUAGCCUUUGCCACUAUAAGCAACGCACUCAUACUUAAUACAUAGAUGAGUAAUAUUACUGGGGUUUUAAUAUGGGCUACAUAUAUUACUUGUAGUACAUAAAGACAAAGUGCUGGGAAGCUUAAGUGCUAGAUUUUUGCCUCAAAAAGCACCUAGUACUUCACUAAUGGGAAGAAAACAAAGAGGUUCUACUAUUGCACUCACCUCCAUUCUUUCACCAGGAGGAGCGGUGGAUUUUUCCAUUGUAUCCUUGGUAUCCAGCUGCUCAAAGGCCUUGGGCUGGCUUCUGGUCUUUCCUUUCACCACUGAGCCUUGAUAGAGCACUUACAGUUCUUCUUAAAGAAUAUCUGUUAAUGUAGAGACAUUUUUUGGAAUAUCCAUAGACAAUAUUGUGGAGAACUUUACAGAGGGCAUAUACUUCAUGCAUGUCGUUGUAUGAUGCUACACAACAUCAACUCCUUCAGUAUCCUUUUGAUACAAAGCCAAUAGAUAAUCCUAUAAAAUGCAUCAAAGAAAGAUUAGAUUGACUACUGUAGGGAAGCAUAUCUGCAUACAGUUUUCAGUCUUCACGCACAUUUCAAGAGCUCAUUAAUUAAAAAUUGGGUUGGUUCCAGCAAGUUUGGCUGCUUAUUGCCUUUGUAAAUUCAGAUGUUUUCAUGAGUUGGACAAUAAUUUUAAUAUUGUCAUAAUCCCUAUAGUUUCUUGUUUAUGUGGUCAAAAACUAAAAUAAUAGGAGUUAUUACUUUGCUUUGUAGGAGCACAGUUGGGAAGAAAAAAAAAGACACACACACACACACCCCUCAAUACCUUGAUUCUUAGUGAGAGUUGCACAGUAACAAUACUCACAAUAACAUUUCCUUGCAGGGAAACGAACAUUUAAAUUAUUUCAGUAAAAAUUAUACUCCUAUAGAUUAUUAUUUUCUGUACUUCUGGAUUUGAUACUUCAUUUCCUUCAAAAGCCUGAAUUUUGUUGUAGAAAUGAACAGACACAUUGUAAUUAAAAUCAGUAGUAAUUUGCCUAUCACAUUAAUCAUUACCAGCAGUUAAUGGCCAGAUAAUUUCCACUUCAAUUACUUCACAUUUCAAUAUACUUACUAAAUUGUUUUGAUAUUUUAUAACACAAAUCUAAAAUUUAGAACCAACAGUGGAUAAAAAGACUUUGUAAUGUCAUUCUGUGAUUACAGAGGAAUUGUCAUGUCUUUAAGGUUAAUAAACAGUGAUAUGAGCUUACCACAAUUCCUGGAAAAAUUUUGGAAGCCAAGAUACUAACACAACUGCAAACUAUAAAUUAAUACUUGAAGUUGAAUCUGCUACUUAGGGAAAAUACAACAGAUUAAAACAGACUGACAAAAAUCAUACUUUCCUGGUGAAAUAGAUGUCAUGUAAAAUGUACAGUAUCAUGCAUUAGCUCCAUGUAACAAGUACUAUGAAGUCUGUUUUCUGAUGCAAAAUGAUUUUAUGCUUUUACGUUGUAUAUUCUUUCAGUUGCAUUACAAAAACCUCUCAGUUAAGUGUUUAAAGAAAACCAUCUUAAUGUAAACUUUUUGCCAGUGGUACAGUUUUUCUCUGAAAUGACAUUUCUCCGGUUUUGUGUUUUUUCCUCCAAGAUAAAAAGGUGGAUUGAGUCACACUCCAAUAAAAGUAGAGGGUUAUCGUGCCAGAAUAAAGAAUAUUACUUCUGUUUA